GAGGGUGAGUCAGGGCGCCGAUAUUUCUGUUGACCACUAAACGCUAACACUAACAUCUAAGUCCAAAUGCAAUACCAUCUAUGCAGAGCAAUGUUUUGUCGUAGUAUCAAUAAACACUCUUUAACUGCAGCUACGGACUCAUGCUCGUUCCUUGGACCCGUGUCGGACAGAUCUCCCUGUACUCGCCCUCUCAGCGGCUUAUAGUUGGUUUUGAUAGUCGCAUUACAGCCACUAAAUUAAUCAGCCGUUCCUCCUCCACGACACCGUGUCCUACAGCGCUUUAAAAGCGCGGGGCAGGAGGUCUUCCGGCACAUUUCUAGUCCAACACUGGCACCACCACAUCUGUUUCAACAAGGCCUAUUUCAGUGCCAACCUCUCCUACAUGCCAGCCCCUGUCUCAUCCUGCAAAAAAAAAAAAAAUCCAGACCAUCUCCCUGCCUCCCUCCUCUUCUGCCUUUGUGUGGACCAAAUCAUUGACCUCUGUCAUUUCCAGUUCUAAAUGAGAUGAAGCAUCCCUCUGACAGACCAUUGCAUCCACUCUGUAGGAAACGAGAGGCUGCAGAGAGAUCUGAAUCAAUGGUACAAACCACCUGCACCAGCUCUGAUCAACAACCGGACUUCCAUACCAGAGCUCUUUUUCAACCACAGAUUGGUGUGGAUGCCCUGCCACCAGUGGAAGCUCAGACACCUCCGUGCUGAUGGCAGCUGGCAGCUAACUGGGUGUGGCAUUCAUAAGAGUG